rnacentral:tRNA from 1 species
CAUAGCGUAGCCGGUUAACGCGCCAGAUUGUGGAUCUGGAGAUCGAGGGUUCGAGUCCCUCUG